rnacentral:rRNA from 1 species
GAUGAACGCUGGCGGCGUGCCUAAUACAUGCAAGUCGAGCGAACAGAUAAGGAGCUUGCUCCUUUGACGUUAGCGGCGGACGGGUGAGUAACACGUGUGUAACCUACCUAUAAGACUGGGAUCACUUCGGGAAACCGGCGCUAAUCCCGGAUAAUAUUUCGAACCGCAUGGUUCGAUAGUGAAAGAUGGUUUUGCUAUCACUUCUCGAUGGACCCGCGCCGUAUUAGCUAGUUGGUAAGGUAACGGCUUACCACGGCGACGAUACGUAGCCGACCUGAGAGGGUGAUCGGCCACACUGGAACGGAGACACGGUCCAGACUCCUACGGGAGGCAGCAGUAGGGAAUCUUACGCAAUGGGCGAAAGCCUGACGGAGCAACGCCGCGUGAGUGAUGAAGGUCUUCGGAUCGUAAAACUCUGUUAUUAGGUAAGAACAUACGUGUAAGUAACUGUGCACGUCUUGACGGUACCUAAUCAGAAAGCCACGGCUAACUACGUG